rnacentral:rRNA from 1 species
UACGUAGGGUGCAAGCGUUAAUCGGAAUUACUGGGCGUAAAGCGUGCGCAGGCGGUGAUGUAAGACAGAUGUGAAAUCCCCGGGCUCAACCUGGGAACUGCAUUUGUGACUGCAUCGCUGGAGUACGGCAGAGGGGGAUGGAAUUCCGCGUGUAGCAGUGAAAUGCGUAGAUAUGCGGAGGAACACCGAUGGCGAAGGCAAUCCCCUGGGCCUGCACUGACGCUCAUGCACGAAAGCGUGGGGAGCGAACAGG